rnacentral:lncRNA from 1 species
CAGGGACCCUCCACAGGAGGGCCCUCUAAGAGUCUCUGCUGAAUUUGUCUGACAGAGAAAUACAAUUUCUGAGCUGUCUAUUGAAUAACUCCUCAGCACAGCUAAAUGAUGUCUU